GACGAACGCUGGCGGCGUGCUUAACACAUGCAAGUCGAACGGAAAGGCCCUGCUUGCAGGGUACUCGAGUGGCGAACGGGUGAGUAACACGUGGGUGAUCUGCCCUGCACUUCGGGAUAAGCCUAGGAAACUGGGUCUAAUACCGGAUAGGAGCCAUUUUUAGUGUGAUGGUUGGAAAGUUUUUUCGGUGUAGGAUGAGCUCGCGGCCUAUCAGCUUGUUGGUGGGGUAAUGGCCUACCAAGGCGGCGACGGGUAGCCGGCCUGAGAGGGUGGACGGCCACAUUGGGACUGAGAGACGGCCCAGACUCCUACGGGAGGCAGCAGUGGGGAAUAUUGCACAAUGGGCGCAAGCCUGAUGCAGCGACGCCGCGUGGGGGAGGACGGCCUUCGGGUUGUAAACUCCUUUCGCUAGGGACGAAGCUUUUUGUGACGGUACCUAGAUAAGAAGCACCGGCUAACUACGUG
rnacentral:rRNA from 1 species